AGAGGUCCGGGAUCACAGCGAGUAACAGAAAUGAGUGUGACAUCUGCGCGCAAACUAAGUAUAUAUAUAUAUAUCUAUCUAUAUAAAUGAAAUGUUUUAACAUGCUUAGAAGUUCUUUCACUUUAAAACCUUCUAAGUCAUGUCAAGUAUGAUUGGAUAAACUGUUCUUCAGAUUAUGAAAUGUUUUAAAGUUGCAGCCCACUAAGUACAUUAGUACUUAGCCCAAAAAUACUUUCAAAUGUUUUC
rnacentral:lncRNA from 1 species